rnacentral:rRNA from 1 species
GUGAGGAAUUUUCCGCAAUGGGCGAAAGCCUGACGGAGCAAUGCCGCGUGAAGGAUGAAGGCCUAUGGGUUGUAAACUUCUUUUCUCAGAAAAGAAUUAUGACGGUAUCUGAGGAAUAAGCAUCGGCUAACUCUGUGCCAGCAGCCGCGGUAAGACAGAGGAUGCAAGCGUUAUCCGGAAUGAUUGGGCGUAAAGCGUCUGUAGGUUGUUUAAAAAGUAUUCUGUCAAAGAUUAGGGCUUAACCCUAGAUAGGCAGAAUAAACUUUUAAGCUAGAGUUUGGUAGAGGCAGAGGGGAUUACCGGUGGAGCGGUGAAAUGCGUAGAUAGCGGGAGGAACACCAAAGGCGAAGGCACUCUGCUGGGCCAAUACUAACACUGAGAGACGAAAGCGAGGGGAGCAAAUGGGAUUAGAUACCCUGGUAGUCC